ACAGCAGACGGCUGUUGUAGGGCGUAAGCGUUAUCAAAACAAACGCAUUUACAACAAUCUCCCCACCAGUGUAGCGCCCCUGGGCGUUACACUCUUCUAACGUUUGUUUGUUUAUCUUAUGCAUCCUAAUCUGUCACGAAACCACGCGGUUUCCCUAUCUCGCGCGCGCCUCAUUCGUUCGUUUCGCGUUUCCCGACAUCCAGAACCGCUAUCUUAGCUGCCGGUCUUUCUAGUAUCCCGCAUGUCGUUUGCACCGUUGCCCUUCUAACCUGACCGUCUUUAGCACGGGUCACUUCUAGAACGCGUCCCAUUGGCCAGGUAUUCCUCGGUAAAUUCCCGUCCGCGAUUACCACUACGUCUCCCACCUGGAUCGGCGGCACCGGGUGGAACCAUUUCGUCCUGCGGGUGAGUGUUGGUAGAUAGUCUGCAAUCCACCGCUUCCAGAAUAUAUCCGCGUUGGUUUGCAGGGCACCCCAUAACGACCGUAUUGAAGUCGGUGAAUCAUCGAAAAAAGCGGCUGCUUUACUCCCAUCGGCACUACCGAGCAAUAAGUGGUUCGGCGUUAUCGGACAGUCCAGCUCAUCGUCGAUCGGCGUCUUUGAGCUCUCUCGCCGCCCCGACGAAGUUGGUACCCCGAUCGCUUAUUAUCUCCCUCGGCGAGCCUCUUCUUGCGAUGAACCGGCGGAUAGCUAAAAUACAGGAAGCAGUUGUUAGUGCAUGAGCUACUUCGAGGUGAACCGCCCUUGUAGUAAGACAGGUGAACAGCGCUCCCCAGCGCUUCUCCGAGUGACGUCCCACGACCACGAGUAUCGGUCCAAAAUAAUCUAGACCGGUAUACGUGAAGGCCCGUUGAUACACUGCUACCCUCUGCCGAGGAAUGUCCCCCAUCAGGGGUGGAUUUGGCACGGCGUUCCAUAUUUUACACUGCUGACAGUCUCGUCGUACCCGGUUAAACUCCACUAGCAGUUUCGGUAUAUAGUACCGCAUCCGGAGUUGAGCCACCACUGUUCUGUGGCUCUGAUGACAAAAGCGCUCGUGGAAGUCUCUGAUGAUCAGAUCUGUGACGGGGUGUCUUCUUGGCAAAAGCUUGUAGAGCACACUGUUCCGGUUAAUCGCCUGUUUCCAAGGAUGUUUCUUCCGCGCAUCGCUGCGCAGGCAUUUAAUAUCGGCAGCAAACCCUUCCGACUGCACCAACGUGUAGAGUGUCCGUUCCGCAGCUAGCAGUUCAUCCUGUGUCAGUGGCCCUGUUACCUUCUUCACUUGCCUAAUCCGUCGCCGAGUGUUCCCGAUAUACCGAAGAACAUAACCGA